AACGAACGCUGGCGGCAGGCCUAACACAUGCAAGUCGAGCGCCGUAGCAAUACGGAGCGGCAGACGGGUGAGUAACACGUGGGAACGUGCCCAAAGGUACGGAACAACUCCGGGAAACUGGAGCUAAUACCGUAUGUGCCCGAGAGGGGAAAGAUUUAUCGCCUUUGGAUCGGCCCGCGUCUGAUUAGCUAGUUGGUGAGGUAACGGCUCACCAAGGGGACGAUCAGUAGCUGGUCUGGGAGGAUGGCCAGCCACACUGGGACUGAGACACGGCCCAGACUCCUACGGGAGGCAGCAGUGGGGAAUAUUGGACAAUGGGCGCAAGCCUGAUCCAGCCAUGCCGCGUGAGUGAUGAAGGCCUUAGGGUUGUAAAGCUCUUUCGCCAGGGACGAUAAUGACGGUACCUGGAUAAGAAGCCCCGGCUAACUUCGUGCCAGCAGCCGCCGUAA
rnacentral:rRNA from 1 species